GGAGAAUGGGGUUGAUAGGGAAAGAUAGAUCAGCCAUGAUUGAAUGAUGGAGUAGACUCGAUGGACCGAAUGGCCUAAUUCUGCCCCUAUGGGUUAUGAAUUUAUAAACCCAUAAAUAUAUUUUUAAAA